rnacentral:lncRNA from 1 species
UAGUUUACACACUGGCCGCGCGCGCCUUCUGAAACCUCCGCGCCCUCCGUCGCGGCAACCCUUUUCCUCUGUGAACUUGGAGCAGACGAAGUAUCAAGUUGCGUCUGGCCCUCCUGCUCCUCUCCUGCUCGUCGGCCGCCCCCCGUCUCAAGGCACUCU